CAGUUCUUCAGUGGCAAGCUUUA
rnacentral:ncRNA from 2 species